GACGAACGCUGGCGGCGUGCCUAAUACAUGCAAGUCGAACGCACGAAGUUGAAGAGCUUGCUCUUUAACUAAGUGAGUGGCGGACGGGUGAGUAACACGUGGGUAACCUGCCCAUUAGAGGGGGAUAACAUUCGGAAACGGAUGCUAAUACCGCAUAGUUUCAGGAAUCGCAUGAUUCUUGAAGGAAAGGUGGCUUCGGCUACCACUAAUGGAUGGACCCGCGGCGUAUUAGCUAGUUGGUGAGGUAAUGGCUCACCAAGGCAAUGAUACGUAGCCGACCUGAGAGGGUGAUCGGCCACACUGGGACUGAGACACGGCCCAGACACCUACGGGAGGCAG
rnacentral:rRNA from 1 species